rnacentral:tRNA from 1 species
CAAAUUAAAGCUAAUUUAGUAUUUUAUUUACAGUAAAAAGUUUGAUUAAAAAUUUUAAUCUAAUUUGA